AAGCAGUUGAGAAAGAAUUUGAGCCUCUGCUGAACUGGAUGAAAGAUAAAGCCCUUAAGGACAAGAUUGAAAAGGCUGUGGUGUCUCAGCGUCUGACAGAAUCUCCAUGUGCUUUGGUGGCCAGCCAGUAUGGAUGGUCUGGCAACAUGGAGAGAAUCAUGAAAGCACAAGCGUACCAAA